rnacentral:rRNA from 1 species
UACGUAGGGUGCGAGCGUUAAUCGGAAUUACUGGGCGUAAAGCGCGCGUAGGCGGCUUUGCAAGUCGAGUGUGAAAUCCCCAGGCUCAACCUGGGAACUGCAUUCGAGACUGCAUAGCUAGAGUAUGGGAGAGGGAAGUGGAAUUUCAGGUGUAGCGGUGAAAUGCGUAGAUAUCUGAAGGAACAUCAGUGGCGAAAGCGACUUCCUGGACCAAUACUGACGCUCAUGUGCGAAAGCGUGGGGAGCGAACCGG